CCUUAGUAACGAAGCUAACGCGUGAAGUUGACCGCCUGGGGAGUACGGUCGCAAGAUUAAAACUCAAAGGAAUUGACGGGGACCCGCACAAGCGGUGGAUGAUGUGGAUUAAUUCGAUGCAACGCGAAAAACCUUACCUACCCUUGACAUGUACGGAAUCCUGCUGAGAGGUGGGAGUGCUCGAAAGAGAACCGUAACACAGGUGCUGCAUGGCUGUCGUCAGCUCGUGUCGUGAGAUGUUGGGUUAAGUCCCGCAACGAGCGCAACCCUUGUCCUUAGUUGCUACGCAAGAGCACUCUAGGGAGACUGCCGGUGACAAACCGGAGGAAGGUGGGGAUGACGUCAAGUCCUCAUGGCCCUUAUGGGUAGGGCUUCACACGUCAUACAAUGGUCGGUACAGAGGGCUGCCAAACCGCGAGGUGGAGCUAACCCCAGAAAACCGAUCGUAGUCCGGAUCGCAGUCUGCAACUCGACUGCGUGAAGCUGGAAUCGCUAGUAAUCGCGGAUCAGCAUGUCGCGGUGAAUACGUUCC
rnacentral:rRNA from 1 species